AAGCAAGUUCCAGUAGUUUCAGUAUCUGUAAACCUUCUGUCUAGGAAUUUUAUCAAGAGAGAUCAAUGAAUGUAUAAGUGGAACCGUCUAAGUAUUUCUAAAAGUGGUUCUUGCAGUGCUAUACACAUCGGUCACACUGAGAUGCAGAUUGAGCACAUCAUUGAAAACAUUGUUGCUGUCACAAAAGGACUUUCAGAAAAAUUGCCAGAGAAGUGGGAGAGUGUGAAACUCCUGUUUGUGAAAACUGAGAAAUCGGUUGCCCUUCCUAUUUUCUCCUUGUUUGUCAACAGUUGGGAUGAAGCCACCAGAAAAUUUAUGUUUAAUAGGUAGAAACAAGCAGCGAGGAGAAAACGAAGAGAAAAAAAAUGUUGAAAAACAAAAGGAGAGGAACAAAAACAAAAAGAUAAGGCAGCAGGCUCGGAAGCCUGCAUCAGUCCUAAGUAAAGAUGAGGUGGCACCUAAAAAUGGUGGCACUGCAGUGAAGAAACCAUAAUCAAAGAACAGACUCCAGAGCAUGAGAAUAAAAAAUGCGGCAGACAAAAAGCCCGACAUAAAGUGACAAAUAAAUCAAAAGAUGAAAUUUUACAACCGGUAACCAUAGGAAAAACUCCAGCUAAUGAAAAUACACAGAUUGAAAAACGUGCUAUAGGCCGAGGUGGGAAGUCUCCAGAAAAGAGUCCUGAUCCCCACACACCUGGUGGGAGGAAGAGAAAGGCAUUGCCAGCUUCUGAUACCCCAAAGGCUGCAGAGUCUGAGACUCCGUGGAAAGGCCCAGGGAAGAAGCCAGAAGUCAAUGAGUCAGUGAAGGAAAAUAAAUCCUUGGCUGGGGGAAAAAGUCGGAGACAGGUACAAAAAAGCCAAGGGCCAAUUUUUUUGCUACCCUUCGUAAAUCUGUGACAAAAGCUUCCCAUAGCCCCCCCAAACAACCCCCAAAACCCAAAGCAGCAGUAGCACGUUACUGCUCUCGGAGCUUGGCUGCUCGUUGGUGCUCGCAACCACAAAGGUCUACGCAAACCUCCACGGUUUCCUCCCGCCAUCGCGUCACCAUUCUAAGAAAUUCCCAGAGGGCAGCGCAGACGGGCCGGGCUCUGGGGCUCCGCGCUCCGCCUCUUUCCCGGAACCGCCCACUACCCAGGGCGCCCACAGAGGGUGGAAAAAGAAGAUAA